ensembl:lncRNA
ACUUUGAUGGGCACACAUAUGUGUAAUCAUAGUUAUGUACCUUUUCAUCCCGGGAAUAAAACAAGCCUCACACAAGUGAAGAGAACUCUUACAAAAGGUCACCUUUAGGGCAGAAGAGCGGGGGAGGGAGUCAACUGGGUGAGCUUAUAAAUCUUUCAUUCAACACCUGCUUGCAGAUGUGUGGGUGGUUAAGUUAGCUUAGACUUGAGUAACAGGUGUCAUAGCCACAGAGCAAGAAAACCAAGGAAAGACAGCCCAGACCCAAAAUUCUCCUAGGAGAACUCCUGACUGUGCCUUUUAAAGAGGGCAGCUUUGUGAAUGAGCUGGCGGGGGAGAGGGCCAUUUCUCAUGCCAUCCUAUCCUAACCAAAGGGCGCAGGUAAGCUAAGUUUGCCAUUCACCUCCUGGAAUUCCUGAACACCCAACUAACUUCCCUCCACACUGCUGAGAAAGUGGUGAGCAACCAGCUGGCUUUUUCUCCAGCACAGCUGCUCCUUGUUUGAAGGAUUUUCACUGAGUGAUUUUAAAUGUUUUUGCAAGGUGUUCAAAUUGGGCAACUGUAUUUGAUAUGCAGAGUCUGGGAAAGCAAUCACAAGGCACCAGGAGUGACUGGUUCCCACAGAACUUUUCAGCCCGAGGGAGGGGAUGUCUGAGGAAGAAGGACUCCAGAGUAAAGGGCAGACCCUGGCUUCAGUCACUUAAAAUACCACCUGAAAAGCAUAACUUGAGCAGGAAAGAAGCACAUGGGAAAAUGCAGGAAGCUGAAUCAGAGCUCCCAGGAAGACGAGGAGGGCUACUUGACUGUCCUCAUAACAUGGCUGCUGGCUUCCUCCAGAGUAAAGGAAGAGAAAGAAAAAAACCAAAAGAAAGAGAAAGGAAAGAAACCACAUUCUGUUCAUCAGGAGCAACUUACUAAGUCCAGGCCAUAAUCUAGAGGAGAGAAUUAAACUCUAGCUCUGGAAAGGAAGAAUAUAAAGCAAUUCAUGCACGUAUUUUGAAGUCAUCAAAGGCCAUGAAGGAAACUGGAUUCCGGAACUGCUGCCACGGUCCUGUUUCCCCAAAUGUGGUGGGUGAUUAUGGAUUCAGUGAUGAUGGCAGGAGGAAGACCCACUUGACAAGGCUGGAACUGGGAACCCGACGCAGUCAGGA